rnacentral:tRNA from 1 species
GCCUCCUUUCCGCAGUAGGUAGCGUGUCACUCUCAUAAUCUGAAGGUUGUGAGUUCGAUCCUCACAGGGGGCA